GAUGAACGCUGGCGGCGUGCCUAAUACAUGCAAGUCGAGCGAACGGACGAGAAGCUUGCUCCUCUGAUGUUAGCGGCGGACGGGUGAGUAACACGUGGAUAACCUACCUAUCAGACUGGGAUAACUUCGGGAAACCGGAGCUAAUACCGCAUGAUAUUUUGAACCGCAUGGUUCAAAAGUGAAAGAAGGUCUUGCUGUCUCUUAUAGAUGGAUCCGCGCUGCAUUAGCUAGUUGGUAAGGUAACGGCUUACCAAGGCAACGAUGCAUAGCCGACCUGAGAGGGUGAUCGGCCACACUGGAACUGAGACACGGUCCAGACUCCUACGGGAGGCAGCAGUAGGGAAUCUUCCGCAAUGGGCGAAAGCCUGACGGAGCAACGCCGCGUGAGUGAUGAAGGUCUUCGGAUCGUAAAACUCUGUUAUUAGGGAAGAACAUAUGUGUAAGUAACUGUGCACAUCUUGACGGUACCUAAUCAGAAAGCCACGGCUAACUACGUG
rnacentral:rRNA from 1 species